CUUAUGCAAUAUGCGGACGAUGUUGGCUUAAGUCGGCCAGCAUCCUGCCCUGUGACGGGAGGCCAUGUUGGGCCGAGUCAUGUUCGAAAUGGCGUGAGACUGGGUAUGCCGAGUCAUGUUCGAAGUGGCGUGAGGCUAGUUGGGCCGAGUCACAAUUGAGACCCGUAGGCGCUUUAUUUGUACGCUUUAAGUGAAUUGGUUGCGUAUUUUUAACAGCUCGAGUUUUUGGGAUUAAUGGUUAGCGCCAACGAUCCGACAAGUGGUAUCAGAGGCAGAGGUCACGGGUUCGAUUCCUGCAUGCUGAAAAUAUGUGCAGAUGCUGGAGGGGGGAUUGUUGGCUUAAAUGGGCCAGCAUCCUGCCCUAUGGCAGGAGGCCAUGUUGGGCCAAGUCAUGUUCGAAAUGGCAUGAGGAUGGGUAGGCCGAGUCAUGUUCGAAAUGGCGUAAGGCUGGUUGGGCCGAGUUACAAUCGAGACCCGUGGGCAUUGUAUCUGUACGCUUUAAGUGAAUUGGUUGAGUACGUAUUUCUAACAGGUCGAGCUUUUGGGAUUAAUGGUUAGCGCCAACGAUCCGACAGACGACUUUGUACUACUUUGCGAUGCCAAAGUCGACAAC
rnacentral:lncRNA from 1 species